CACGGCGUUCAAAGGAUUGCGCUACUCUGCUCCGUAGGAGCUAUAUAGUGCUCUAGGUUGGCCAAGUGCAGCCUGGGGAAGGCGGGUGCACGAUAGCAGACGAAGUUGCAGACGACAAAAUGGACUCCCAUUCCCAAACGAUUCGCGCUAUCACCGGCAACCAAGAAACGGUCGCGUUUAUGGCGAGGAUGGCGAGCCUGCACUCGACGGCGGCUUGCCGCCUUUUGUCACCGAAGGGAAGAAACUGGUGCCAGCGAUCAGCCUGGUUUUGUGUGCAGAUCAGUGAUGCAUAUUUUAGCUGAGGACUAAAGGAAGUAUUAUACGCUAUGGGUU